rnacentral:rRNA from 1 species
CCUACGGGAGGCAGCAGUAGGGAAUCUUGCGCAAUGGGCGAAAGCCCGACGCAGCCAUGCCGCGUGAAUGAUGAAGGUCUUAGGAUUGUAAAAUUCUUUCACCGGGGAAGAUAAUGACGAUACCCGGAGAAGAAGCCCCGGCUAACUUCGUGCCAGCAGCCGCGGUAAU